UUGUCUGAACAGAUACAGGACUACAAUCAGGUCUUUAAUCAUAGGAAUGUAAAGUGUUGUUCUAUAUGACGAGUUUGCUGUUUUUCGUGAGGAAAUAAUCAGGUUUCUUCAUAAGAGAAAGGAGAGAUACUCUUUUCUCCAGUGUUGACCCCUCAGAUAUUGAGUCUGGCUUGCUAGAAAACACCAGACAAAAUUCAGUUCUGGUUGAGUGAGUUUCUUCACUUUAAGUGAAGAAACUGUAAUGUUUUCUUCGCACAGAUCAGGCAUAACAUUAAAACCACCUGUUUAAUAUUGUGUAAUCCCCUCACGCUUCUGUAAUGACUUUUAGGUUGCCGUGCCACGGCAUCCACAUGACCUCUGAUGGUGUUUUUGGUAGAAACCAACCACUGUAGACCAGGAACACCGAACAAGACCUGCCUGAUGUUUUGUAGAUGGUUUUUAACUAGUCGUAGUCGUAGCCAUCAUAUACUUAACAUAAAAAAAUGAUGUAAAGUUGCAUCCAGAAGGAAUUGACCAGCGGGAACGGAACCUAGUAGGUAGUCUUGAACUUUUAGAGUUCAAAUAUUAAGGCUGAUAUAACUGUGUGAAUACAUAUCUUCAAGACGAAUCUCUGACCUCAGGUAGGAUGUAUUUCUUGUGCUUAUAGAACAAACUAAAUUUACAACAGAUUUUGCUACAUGUUGCGAACUUAACACACAAUCUAAACUUACAAAUCUUAUCUAAAAAUCUCAAAACUUUAAAGGAAUUAUUAGAGAAAGAAAACAUACAGGGGUUGGACAAUGAAAGUGAAACACCUGCCAUUUUAGUGUGGGAGCACAGUUUUGCUCAAAAUAUUGCAAUGCACAACAUUAUGGGUGACAUACCAGAGUUCAAAAGAGGACAAAUUGUUGGUGCACGUCUUGCUGGCGCAUCUGUGACCAAGACAGCAAGUCUUUGUGAUGUAUCAAGAGCCACGGUAUCCAGGGUAAUGUCAGCAUACCACCAAGAAGAACCAACCACAUCCAACAGGAUUAACUGUGGACGCUGUAAGAGGAAGCUGUCUGAAAGGGAUGUUCGGGUGAUAACCCGGAUUGUAUUCAAAAAACAUAAAACCACGGCUGAUCAAAUCACGGCAGAAUUCAAUGUGCACCUCAACUGUCCUGUUUCCACCAGAACUGUCUGUCGCCACAAUAAAUUAUUGUGGUCUAAAACCAGGUGUUUCAGUUUCAUGGUCUAACCCCUGUACUUAGACCUACUUAAAGUAUCAAACCUGAAAAGAACAUUCCACCCAGUUUGCAGUAUUGUAGGAAUGCUUAGGAUCUUAAAGUUAUCUAUAAGUACACCAAGUUGCCAGUUUAUUAAAUGUACACCUGCUUUGUUUUUCCCCACACUGGCCAUUUUAACAGAAACACCUACCCACAAGUGGACUUUGUAGGUUUAUAUAGGUACCCAACACUUUUAUUUUCAGAUUAACCACUAGGGGUGCACUAAAUAAUUAGCAAUCAAAUUAUUCAGCCUUGGCAAAAAUAAGCACUUUGAGUGCUGAAUAAGUGCCCACACAAUAAUAAUUUAUACAGAACAAUGAGAUUUUGAUGACACCCCAUGUUGU